rnacentral:rRNA from 1 species
GACGGAGGAUGCAAGUGUUAUCCGGAAUCACUGGGCGUAAAGCGUCUGUAGGUUGUUUAAAAAGUCUGCAGUUAAAGGUUGAAGCUUAACUUCAAAAAUGCCGUAGAAACUUUUAAACUAGAGGAUGAUAGGGGUAGAGGGAAUUUCCAGUGGAGCGGUGAAAUGCGUAGAUAUUGGAAAGACCACCAAUGGCGAAGGCACUCUACUGGGCCAUUACUGACACUGAGAGACGAAAGCUAGGGGAGCAAAUGGG